rnacentral:lncRNA from 1 species
GAAAUUCUUUGGGAAAAACUUUGUGAACCAAUGUUGUCUCUCUAGCUUCGGUUAAUGAUCGUUCCUGUUUCUAAACCUGGCGCCUUUGACUUCAUUUUCUAUGUUGUGCUCUGAGGGCCUGAAGAGGAAUACCUAAGAGACAUAAUUAAAAUGUUUAGCUAGAGUACGUCUUGGUUUAGACUGACCAGCCUUUUGGAUGUAAUACUGUAAAUAAAGAACAGUACCUUCCGCAUGCUCUCUUCUCCCUCCCUCUCUUGCUCCUCUCCCAUCAGCAAGGAAAAGUUUCCAGCCUCUGUAUCUUGAAGUAUCCCUUGUGGUGCCUUUGUAAGCAGCAUCUUAAAGGUUAUUCCAAGAGCCUGGCUAAAUGUUACCGUCUCUUUAGGGAGAGUGACAAAAUACCCACUAAUGUGGAGCUAAAAUCUUUUAAACCUUUUAAAUCUGGUAAACCUUCUGAUAAUAAGUAAGAAAUACUUUGCCUCUAAUAUUUCAUUUUAUGCUUUAAAGUGCACCUGCUCACCUGCGCUCUACAAGGAAAAUUAAACAUUAACAGCUUCUCAUUAGUAUUAUAAGCCUUUUGGGAAUAUCAAGUUUCAGGAAAAAAUAUUUGUCAGUCUGUGGAUGAAUUUUCAAACUCACAGCGGGUGAAUAGCUUAGGAGAACAUUAUGAGAGCUCUCCUUUGGCUUGUUGGUUUGAAUCAGGAGUAGCUGAAAUUUUGUAAUUUUAAACUGGUAGCUAAAGGUUACAAACCAAAAUUUAGAAACUUAGAGUUGGAGAAACAAGUCUGUAAUGGCAGGUGGCAUUGAUAGCCUUGAGUGGAGGGGCGCUGAUCUGCAUCACCUGGGCAGGUAUUUCUUAAGGGCAGGUUGGGAGAUCGGGGAAUUGAGGCCACCUGAGCUGAGCGCCUUCCCCAAGAAGGCAGGGGGUCAGCCCUGAAGGAGCUGGCUUGGUGAGUACCUCAGGGUGAGCAGUUGUCUUGUUUUUGCUGGGACAGGCAAUGCUUCAGAUGGAGGAAGAUGUGGAUGGCACUGGAUUCCGUGGCAGAAGGAAAGAGUGCAGGAGAUUACUCCCCAGUUCACUUGAUUUUUACCUGAUGAUUUACAAGCAUUUUGACAGUAGGAAUUCGAGAAAACAGAUAUCUCAGGUUUGUUAAAGUACAAUUUUUUGUUGUUGAACAUUUAGGGAGCUAUGCUCAUAAGAUGGUGGAGUUUAUGUAUGUUUCUAAGUGCAAGUUUUUCCUCCUAGUUUCCAAGUAACAUUUGAAAUACUCUAUUGCUAGAACCAAUGAAAAGUUUAAAAAAUAUUUGGAAGCAAUCACUCACAGCUUUCUACCGUAAGUAUUAGGAUUUCAGGGUGAUUAGAUGAUGAUGAUAAUGAUUGAAUUUCACCUAGAUUUUCAGAUGACCGCUGCAGAAAACACAAAUUUAAGAAAGGCAAAGCGCAAAGUUUUGGCCAUUUUGGAAUAAAAUAUCUAAGAUUUUUCA